rnacentral:lncRNA from 1 species
GAGGUCGAAGUCCAAGAUUUUUCUGUUAUAUUUUUAUUAUUUAUUUAUUUAUUUAUUUAUUUUUUCGUUUUUCGUUUUUUUUCAUUUUUUUUUUCGUUCUUUUUUUUUCCUCAAAACGCGCGGGCUUCGCCUAGCGAGCAUGACAGUUCAAGAAAUUCCUCUGAGCGUAGGUGAUUCUGGUGGCUUUUCUUGGGACUCUCUAGGCGACCCAUUCUGCUCGCUUAGCGAGCAUGACAACUCAUGAACAAACUUUUG